AUACAGAGGAACCCUUGUCAAUCGAAGUGAAAAUCCAUAAUUGAGGAGUGUAUAUGGUCGGCAACAACAUAUAUAUUCUUUUAAAGGAAUCAAGAGACUCAAACCUUGCCACAUAAUAUUUUCCUCACCAUUACACCAAACGAGUAAAACAUGCUGUUACCUUCUAAGUUAGUGUUUAAAACUUACAAGAAAUAAGUAAUCUGAAGGGUAAGAAAUUUUGGGAGAAAUAUUAACACAUUCUUAGCCAUGUGUGCUAGAACUUGUUUCAUAAAGAUAUUGAAGAUUUCAUCAUGCAGAUAUCUUACCAUAAGAAAGACAUUGAAUUGUUGGAAAAGGUUCAGAGGAGGACUACUAGAUUGAUAUCUGGGAUGGAAAGGUUGUCAUACAAGGAGAGGUUAAGAUCUCUGAAAUUGUUUCCUCUUGAAAAAAGGAGAGUUAGCAGCAGCUUUUUCCUCUACUACCUACCUACUUGGUCACAUCAAUGGGGUUAGUGCCUAGACAGCUCAAGUGAUCACUACAAGAUUUCUCCAGCUUACUUGACUGGUCUUUCCAUAUACACUUCUAAUAUCCCAGUGGAAAAAGUAUUGCAAUUAAUUAAUAGGAAAGACAGAGUACAGAUACGUGCAAGCUAAUAAAAGUUAUAGAAGAUGGUAAUCAUAAAAUGUUUGUUAUUUGGUUCUAGCAGCAAAUAAAAGAAAAAAAAAGUGUUUCCCAAAUACACAUCUAAAACAAAACAACAACAAGAAGACAACCAUGCCUAGGUGAGCAACAUAGCAAGUGCCAUCUAUAUACCUGUACAGGACCAUGUACAUUGCUAAUAUGGAAAUACUGGGUCAUAUUGUUAUAAUCUGUGGACAGAAUAGACAAGUGAAAUAUCAUGGGGAUACAGUAUGAAGUAUUCAAAGUAUGCAAUGAUCUGUUUUAUUUGCUUAAUUCAUUGUGAAUCAAACAUGUUACAGCCAAUAAUAAACACCUACUUUUUAUUGUUUAAUUUUCUUAUAACUUUUGGAGGUUUCUUUGUUAAUUUUUGUCUGAAAUAUCUCUGUUUUGUCAAAGCCUUGCUUUUAUGAAAAAGCUUCUAUCAAAAUGUGAAAAACAUACACCUUCAUCAUUUACAUUGCUUCCCCUUUAGGCUAUGAAUUUUACAAAAAUACUACAGCUCAGCUGGACAUUUGAUAACAACCUGAAGAAAAUAUCAAAAAUAAAUGUUUACUAAAAAAAGGGUAAGUUUUAAUUUUAAACUACAAUAUUAUUUUCAAUUUGAAGGGACAAAAAGGUGCAAUAUUGAACCCAUCUAAGUUAUCCCAUUUUAUACUACUAGCUUACUGCAAGCUAUAUGUAACAACUCAUUUUCUUACAUCUAAUCUCCUUCAUUGUUGCAGUUUCUACCACACCCGAAGGCAAAUUAUUUCACAAAGCAAUCAACCUAUGAGUAAAGUAACAGUCUUUACUAACAUUUUCUGAGUUUUCCAUAUUUUAAACUUGUCUUUAGUGUUACUGCCUGCAGAGUGUUUUGUAUGAAAAUGUCAUCUGAAUAUACUAAUUGCAAGCAUCAAAUAAUCUUAAAAUCCUCAGUUAUGUUCCCCCACCUAAGUUCUCUUCCCCCAGUGAAAAUAUGUCAUUACAGUAUAGAAAUUUCAUCCCAUUUCCAUACAGUAAUCUUUAAAUCUUCUUUGAACCCUCUCCAACAACUCAACAUCCCUUUUUAAAUAAGGUAACCAAAAUUGAACACAGUAUUCUAAAUGAAGUCUAACCAGCAUCUUACAGAGUGAAUUGAUGACUUCCUUUGACUUGUACUCAAUAUUCCCAUGUGUACAACCUAAAAUUAUUUUGCUUUAUUACUAACUAAUGUAUAUUCUGUAGAAGGCUUUAGAGAUUUUGUAAUAACUAAUUAGUUCCCUGCAAUGUUAAAGAAUAAUUACUGUUUUGAUAAUCACUGUGCAUAAUCCUACUUUUAUUAAAAUCAAAAGGCAUUUACCUGGUGUUAUUCCAGCUCAUCAAAAAUGAUCCAAGUCUACAAACUUAGCCAAUUUACAAUCUAUUGGUUAUUAUAAUCAAUGCCAUUUAAUGAAAUUAGAAAAUAGUAAAGAAUAUAGUAUAACAUUAUGUAGCCCUUAGGCAUAGUUGUUGGGUUCAAGUUCGCACAAGUUAUGAAUGAAUUUAUUUUAAGUCCAGGUUAUGCAGUUGUGGGUUAAGCACACAAGCCACCAACUUGAGGAAUUUAAGUGUGGAAUAAAGAAAGUCACUCGGAGACAAUUUGUAAUACAAACACAAAAUAAGUUUUAUUCCAAGCUAUUGAUCAGUUCCUCUAAAUCAAAGUUUCCAAAGUUAUCUUGAAAUAAUCCAAAAUCAAAACUAUCAAACUCUUCAUUUUUGAUAUGUUCAGUAAUCAAACUUUCUACUGUGUUUAUUCACAUGGAUACAACAUUGGAUAGCUUAUCUAUUAAAGUAAUACAGGAAACUCUUUCAGUUAUAGUUUCAUUAUACAACUGUGAUAGCAAAUCUUCCAGUAUAUCUCUUAGCAAUUCAGUGAUAUCUUUUACUACUCUUACUAAAUCUUCAAUACAAGUAAUGUUUUUCACUUUUCAGACAUUAUACUUUAUACAAGUAAAACACUGUGAGACUAUAUCAGAGGUAGCAUUGCUUACAAAGAGUUUGUGUGAUGAAUCUCCUUGAGAGGUUGUAACACAGCCAUGAUAACUGGUCAGUCUGGCUCAGCUGGAGCAAGAUGACUCCAGCAUUGAAAACACAAUGUUUUAUACACAAUUUUCCGUGUCUUUACAAUUUCUCAAUAAGUUGAGUGGAUCUACUUUUGCAAGUAGUUCCUUCAACUUAAUUGGUACAAGUGGAAUCUUCCACCAAACCACAACCACUUGCUAAUUGGUUCAUAUGGAACUAUCUCUCGGUAAUUAUUUGUUGACAUUGGUGUAAACAUUCGAGGUUAUUAACUAAGAGGGUAUAGAGACAAACCAUGUAACUUUGGUCUUUUUACAGAUACCCUUUCACUUAUUGGUUCUCUUCAAAGUUCUGUUAAUCGUUUUUUAUGAAGUUGCUUCAUCUAAUGAUAAUUUCUGUUAUCAACGUGUUGCUUUCUCUCAUGGAAUGGAGUCUGUUUGGUGCUGGUAAUCAUAACUGUUAGUUUCCUUACUUCCUAGAUCAAGGCCAGCUAACUCACGUAAUGUGUUUCAAGUUUGUCUCAUCCUUAUUUGGUAAUGUGAUCGUUAGUUAGUAUCCACUUUUUCAUAAAAUCCUUUGUUCUGCUGGAUUUCUCUAGGUUUUUGUUAUCUAUUUAGCAUUAUAUAUUUCUCAUUUUUCUAUGUAAUCCUUUGUAUGUUAAUUAAUAAUGUUUCUUGAAAUUCUUUGUAUUUGUGUUAUAGCAAAUGCUUCAUUAAUUCAGUGUGGCUUUACUCAUUAAUACCAAUCUUUUGAUUUUUACCACCAAACAACUCUGAAGGAAUUCAUUUACCAAUCUUAUCUCCUAAUCAAGAAAUAAAAUAUUCUUGAGAAGUUUGUGUCACCUUACCAAAAGUGACCGUCUUCUGAAAGUUCAGGCUCACCCAACACACUGUAUCACCCAUACUGAGAUUAAAUAUAAAAUUUUUAAAGAAAGAAAAUUGAAAAGACAUAAACAUUCCUGUCUAAAUCUCUUGAGGAAUUUCUCUGACCAUAGACUGAUAGUUUCCCAUCCACUAAAUAAGACUUAAUGAAUUUUACCAGAUGUGGCUUACUCCUUACUUCAUUCAUGAUUAUCAGAUGAUGUACUUGUGAAUCCACGUUAUUUCUUUUACAGCAGAAACUGAUGAGAAAAAAGAAUUUACUUGUUCAGCCAUUUCAUCUUCAUAUACCCAAACCUUUCCCUCUUCAUUUUCAAAGGUCCAACUCCAAUUCUAUUUUAACAUAUAAAAAUGUUUUAGUGUUAACAAUUUCUGCCAUUUGUUUCCCAUAUAUGCCCUUUUCAGUUUCCUAAUAUCCUUUCUAACCAGUUCUCUAGUACUUUUAUAUGUCUUUAAAUUUUCUAUUCUGUUAGUUUGUUUGAAUUUUCUAAAUUUAUAAUAUGUUUUCUUAAUUUCCUAUAUGAUUUCUAUUGGAAGCCAUUUGGGCUUAAGUUUGGCAUUUGUCCUUCUUUCUCUAAUGCAAUCAUAUUUGUUUUGUAUUUGUUGUAAUGUUCCUUAUGAUUUCUCACUUCAACAAGCUCCUCAAUCAACAGUCUGCUCCAAUUUACCUGAAGUUCGUUCCUUUUUAUAGCAUCAAAAUUAGUUUGUCUGAGAUUGGAAACUAUGAUAUUUAACCUGGAUCUUAACAUACCACAAAACCUUAUCACUGACUCCCAGAUGUUACCCUUCUAAAUGAAAUCUUCAGUGUUUAAUAUUAAAUCCAAAUAAUUGGAUCUCUUAACCUAGUUGAUGAAGAAAAAUUAAAUACUAUAACCUUCACUGUCUGAUUCUGUAUAAUUUCAAAUACCAUUUCCAAAGUUAAAAUCUCUCACAAUUAGAACUUCCUUAGAAGUAUUUCUAAUUUUGCUAUAAAUGUCAUCAAUGUCCUGAGUUUAUCACGAUACAGGUAGGUGCCCACUAUUAUUCUCCAUUUGUACUAUAUAGCCUUUUUAAUAUCUUUAAUAUCUUGGUUGCAGCUUUUCAGUAAUUUAAAUAAUUUAUCACUGUUGAACAACUUUUACCCAAUUCAUUUGUUUGUCACAGUUUUUUUAUCUGCUACAUAGUAGUAAUGAUCAUAAAGUUGUGCAGGUUUCAAUACUAAAAUAAUAAUCAUAACAUCUGUCAAUUGACAGAAAUGCAAAGCAAGAGCAAAACAUUUUGUGGCUGUUUGGAGUCAUUUGAUUACUUUACUGGCUUAGUUGAAGAUGUGACUAUAACUAUUGAACCACAAUCAACUUUACUUUCAAAAGCCAAAGUUUUAAGAUUGAAAAACAAGUUGCUGUUGGAUUAAACUUUAGAAUGUUUUUAAUUUUUACUGUAAUACAUACAAUACUUUAAAGUGCACCAUGGGCUGGUUGUUUGUUUUUGAUCUUAAGAAAUUGUACAAACAAGUGUUAUUGAGAAAUUAGAAAACUAAACAAAUUUUGUAUACUUUUUUAUUCACUCUUAUCAUAAUUCUCCAAGUUGAUUUGUUUUUUUCGUUUUUACAGCUAACAUAGCAAUACAAUAAAUUGGCAGUUUGAAGUAUAUGUAUUCUAAGUUAAGUGUAUUUUAUUACUAAAUAUCACAUUAUUAUUAAAAAAGCAUAAUGAAAGAAAUUUGGGGCAGUGAAUGUGCUUUAUUAAACUGCUGGCCUAUGAUUUUUCAAAAGUAAACCUGAAAAAUGGCCUUAAUCAUAUUGCUAUAUCUUAUAAAAUUGAUAGAUUGUCACGUAAAUACCAACUUGCCUUCAUCUUUUAACAUGUUCUGAAGGGUCUAAUUUAUCAUCAAGAAUGCUGGCAAGUGGCUGCUUUGUAUGAUUUAAAACAUUAGUCUUUUGUGUAAAUUGUAAUGCAAUCUUUUUUUAAAAAUGUAUUCAAGUCUUUUGGUCCACAGACACCAUCAGUAACUCAUAUAUAUAUAUAUAUAUAUAUUGACUUACUGAAAAACUAUAAAUUUUUAAUUUCUUUUGAAAGAAUUGCUGUCCACCUUUGUUUUCCAAGAUAAUUUAUCAAGUUACUAUGAUUACUAAAAAUGAUCAUGCAAGCCUUUUCUGGGGCAAAGUGAUGUUUUGUAUAAGCAAUAAAAAUAUUUAAAUUUCUAUCAAACUAUAAUUUAAAAGCCAUGACUGACAAAUAUAAUCAUCAUUAAAUCUGAGCUUUAUAAUCAUAUAUGUUGCCAGUUUAUUAUAUUACAUCUGUGAUUUUUUUAUAUAUACCAUGUAGGAAUUAGUGCUUUGGGUUCAAGUAUGUUUAAUGUAAUGAAUACAUCAAAAAAUAAAUGACAAGAAAGAUACAGAAACUUCAAUUAUAAUUAAUGUGAAAGAGAUUCAACUGUAUUUAGUAUUUUAUUUAUAGCUAAGUAAAUAUCUGAAAAAAAAAACAUUUUUGCUAGAUUUACCUAGCAUCAUCAGGGGCAAGAUUUGAUGAGAAUCUGUUCUAUUGUGUUCAAAAACUCGUCACUAAUAAUGCCAAAUAAAUCAUGUGAAAUGAUUUUUUAAAGGAAAUUUGUUAAACAUACUUGUUUAUCUGUAAAUAAACGAUAUUGUUUGACUUGA